rnacentral:rRNA from 1 species
UUCCGGUUGAUCCUGCCGGAGGUCACUGCUAUUGGAGUUCGAUUAAGCCAUGCAAGUCGAGAGGGUUAGACCCUCGGCGGACGGCUCAGUAACACGUGGGUAAUCUACCCUCAGGACAGGAAUAACCCCGGGAAACUGGGGAUAAUACCUGAUAGGUGGAGAGGUCUGGAAUGAUUCUUCGCUUAAAGCCCCGGCGCCUGAGGAUGAGCCUGCGCCUGAUUAGGUUGUUGGCGGUGUAAUGGACCACCAAGCCGAAGAUCAGUACGGGCAGUGAGAGCUGUAGCCCGGAGAUGGGGGCUGAGACACGGCCCCAGGCCCUACGGGGCGCAGCAGGCGCGAAAACUCCGCAAUGUUCGAAAGAACGACGGGGGAACUCCAAGUGCACUUGCGCAAGUAAGUGGUUUUUAGUAGUGUAAAUAGCUUUANGAAUAAGAGCUGGGUAAGACCGGUGCCAGCCGCCGCGGUAACACCGGCAGCUCGAGUGGUGACCGCUUUUAUUAGGCCUAAAGCGUUCGUAGCCGGUUCAGUAAGUCUUUGGGCAAAUCUUCUCGCUUAACGAAAAGAAUUCCGAAGAUACUGCUGGACUUGGGGCCGAGAGAGGUUAGAGGUACUCCUGGGGUAGGGGUGAAAUCCUAUAAUCCUUGGGGGACCGCCAGUGGCGAAGGCGUCUAACCAGAGCGGAACCGACGGUGAGGGACGAAAGCCAGGGGCGCGAACGGGAUUAGAUACCCGGGUAGUCCUGGCUGUAAACGCUGCAUGCUAGGUAUUGCAUGCUCUACGGGGGUCAUGCCAGUGCCGAAGAGAAGUUGAUAAGCGUGCCGACUGGGAAGUAUUAUCGCCAG